GCCAAAACUCUUUAUAUUAUAGACUUUUUAAUAUUCAACCAUAAUAAAGUGAUCAGCUAGUUUUUCAAUCACAGAGCAACAAUCAGCAAAUUCCAUUCCUUCAUUGUAUGUGCCAAUGAUUAAGCAUUUAUUUGUUUUCACUGCAAUGCCACCUUCCUCUCCGUUACGCCGAAAUACAAUUGCUCGGCCAGGAUCUACUCGUAAAAACCUGAAUUUUCCUUGACCCAAAGUUAUUCCGCAAGUGUACAACUUAGAUGGAUCCGUUGUAAUCGCUGUGACGAUAUUCCUAAUUUCAUAAUUUGCAAUC